GUAUAAAAAUCACGAGCAUUUUGUCAAACAGGCAAGCGCAAAUGUCAGAGAAGCCUCUCGGCUUCCCCUCUUGCUAUUAUUGAUCCUUCCGCAGGUUCACCUACGGAAA
rnacentral:misc_RNA from 1 species